CGUGGGCUCGGCGGCAGUGAAGCCAGGGCUGAACUCUGGUGCCGGGGACAGAGCAGUGUGGUGUCAGGCGCUGCAGGACUGCAACGCCAAGACUGGGGGCCAGAUGCCCAAGCUAAGGGACCCAUGACUCCGCUGUGACCUUGGAACUUGUCCUUGGAAGGAGGAGGGGAGUUGACCGCAUAAGGAAGGGUGCGCUCCUGGGGUUAGGAUCUCUGAAGGCAAUGUGUGGACCCUCAGCAACCUGCCUCCUUCAUGGCUGAAGCUCUGGGACAUAGCUUGGGCCACCCCUGGGGAGCACUCCAGGCCACUGUCAGGUGUGAAGCACGAGCCAGCCCAGCCUCUGCCAUCAGCACCACCACAGACAGCUCAGAGUCAUGCAGGACACUUGAAGACCUGCACUGUUUCCGGCUGGGUCCAAGAACCCACUCUCACGCAGCUGCAGUCUGGCUGAGCCUCUCCCUCCAGGCCACCUCCUCAUCCUCCCUGUGUCCCCAUUUCUGGCAAGGAGGGAGCCACUCUCCUUGUGAUGAGGUCUGGAACUGGAGCUGUGAAAUCCCACCUUCCCUCCCUCCCUCCCUCCCUCCCUCCCUCCCUCCCUCCCUUCCUUCCUUCCUUCCUUCCUUCCUUCCUUCCUUCCUUCCUUCCUUUCACCUAUGCCCAAGAGUGUGACUUCCCAUUCUCAAGCAUCUGGUGCUAAUUCCAAUCCUCUUACUAGGACUCCUUAAAGGCUCUUGAGUUGGAGCUCUUGAAACAAAAACCCACCCCUCACUUCCCUGCUUCUGAUUCAUCUAACACGUUGCUUCUUCCAGGAAGUCCUCCAGCCACCACCUCACCCAGCCUAGUUUGGGUGUCCUGACUGUGCUCCCACAGCACAUUUAUAACGCAUGCUAUAAUGUACCUGCAACUGUAAGCUGGAGAGCUGCCACCCCUGGUCUGUGGGCCCUUGGAGGGCCGGGGCCUCAUCUUAUUCCUGCCGCACCCCAUGAACCUGUGUUGGCCAACUUGGAUGGCAGGGGAAGAUCAACAGAAGGUGCCCUCCACCCACGUCCUCCCAGCGCUCACCUUGGUCAGCCUGGGGGCCAAGGCCGCCCGCCCGCCCGCCCGUCCUACUUAAGAGUGGCCCAGUGCUCUGGGGAUGAGAUUAAACACCAGCUUACACCCUGUGGGGGAGAAUGAAAGUUGGAGCAAGAAAUAAAAACCCAAACAAAAAAAUGCAGCUAAUUCCAUCCUGUCAGCGGUGGAUAUUAAAGACUAUG
rnacentral:lncRNA from 10 species